rnacentral:lncRNA from 1 species
AUCCAAACUAUUAUCUAUUAAAGGAACUGGAAAAACAUAGUCAGAUUGUAAUUUUACUUAUGGUUCACCUAUCUAUCUACGCACAUGCACUAAAUACUAUCUUUCUUUGGUGCUAGUAAAGAAGGCACUGCUCACGGACUCAAACUUUCAUGAGUAUGCCCUUUAGCGUGUAAAGCCUUAACACGUUCUCUCAAUUCUUCAUGUUCCGUUGGACUUAUGUAGUAGUGAGGUCGAUGAGGAAGUGCUACACUAGGAACAAGGUCAAUGUCAUAUUGGAUGUCUCAAAGGGGAUAAACUUGUGGGCGUGUCCUUUUGAAACAUAUCCAUAAUUUCAUCAUCCAAGCGAUAAUACUUCACUAUCUUUGCUGACUUUCAUGUCGAGUAAAAUGACUGUUGACUCUUCAAUCGUGCACAUGAAAAGGAUGUCAAUAAAGAAUUUAUUAUAAUUUUCCGUCAAUGCCGAAUUCAAUGAUGCCUUACUAGGUAAUGAGAUAAUUUUCCAUCCGUCGCGCAUAUUCCUUUUUUCUAUAGCCGAAUACGUCAAGAAUUUAACACUACAAUAAUCUAGAUGUG